CCUACGGGUGGCAGCAGUCGAGAAUUUUUCACAAUGGGCGCAAGCCUGAUGGAGCGACGCCGCGUGGGGGAUGAAUGGCUUCGGCCCGUAAACCCCUGCAUGACAAUAUUUAGUAGCGAAAGAGGAAGGGACGGCUAACUCUGUGCCAGCAGCCGCGGUAAUACAGAGGUCCCGAGCGUUGUUCGGAUUCACUGGGCGUAAAGGGUGCGUAGGUGGCGAGGUAAGUCGGAUGUGAAAGCUCGGAGCUCAACUCCGAAAUGGCAUUGGAAACUACCUUGCUUGAGGGUUGGAGGGGGGACUGGAAUACUUGGUGUAGCAGUGAAAUGCGUAGAUAUCAAGUGGAACACCAGUGGCGAAGGCGAGUCCCUGGACAAUCUGACACUGAGGCACGAAAGCUAGGGGAGCAAACAGGAUUAGAUACCCUUGUAGUC
rnacentral:rRNA from 1 species